CACUCCCAGGGAGAGGGGUCUGGGGAGAGGUCUGGGAAGGGGGCACUGGGGCACCCUGAGACUCCCACUGGUGUCUUACUGUGUUUCCCUGUCAGUUCAGCUCCCCCCACCCCCCCCACCCCGCCAAGACCAUUUCAUCACCCCCUCAAGUGCAAGAGUGAAUUAAAACUCCAAGGAGACCUGAGAGGGACGCCUCUGUCACACCCUUUCUCUGGCUGCCUUGGGGGACGAGGGUGGCCUGGAGGAACAAUAGCUUCUCUUAGCCCCUUCUCCCUGGCUCAGGGAGAACAGCAAGAGAAAGAAAGAGAGGCAAACCAAAUUCCUGAAUGGAUAGAUGGAUGCUACGUCAUCGGAGCUGCAGCCUGCACUCCACAAGAGGCUAGGGGCCGGGAGAGGCAGUCCAGCCGCAGGGGCCACCCGACCAGGCUCUCCUCCCCGCGGGCGCCGGGAGCCGGGCACCCAGGAAGCAGCAGCCUUGUUUGUCCUCGGCGGACAGGCGUCAUGGAUGUCCUCGCAGGAUCUCCAAAGGAGGACAGAGGUGCUGAGGGACUUGCGGAGGUCCCCUGGGGGGUUUGCCCUCUACAGAACUAGCACCUCCGUGGAGAGGGGAGCAGUGGCCAGGAGGGAUGUGAGCUUCUUACUUGGGGUGGGUGGGUGUUCCACCACCCUCCAGCCCUCUUUCCUCCACGUGGACAGCAGACCCUCAUCCAGCACCACGGACAGCUCCCGGGUGGUGAGUGAACUGGCUGGGCUGACUACCUUGGAGAGGGAGAGGUGGGGGUUCCUCCUGUCUGUUAGGUCAGAUACCAAGGACUCUGGAGUUUGCAUCUAUGGGAGUUGUUUUCAGUGGACUAUAGUCCUAAGAGGAGACCAAGGCUGA
rnacentral:lncRNA from 1 species